UACGUAGGGUGCGAGCGUUAAUCGGAAUUACUGGGCGUAAAGUGUGCGCAGGCGGCCGCGCAAGUCGAGUGUGAAAUCCCCGAGCUUAACUUGGGAAUUGCGCUCGAAACUACGUGGCUGGAGUGUGGCAGAGGAAGGUGGAAUUCCACGUGUAGCGGUGAAAUGCGUAGAGAUGUGGAGGAACACCGAUGGCGAAGGCAGCCCCCUGGGUCAAAACUGACGCUCAUGCACGAAAGCGUGGGGAGCAAACAGG
rnacentral:rRNA from 1 species